UUUCUUAUAUUUUUAUUAAAGCCAAUGGUCCUCUCAUGUCGAUUCUGAUCGGUUUGUAACCCAUUCAGCUUCAUCUGAUAUGCAUUUGAGUCUGAUAUGUAUCACGUUCUGGGCACGCCUCGCCUAAUAUACCGUGCCCACAUCUCGAGGCUCGUGAAAACCGGCCUCAUCGACCAAGCCAUCAACCUGUUCGACGAAAUGACUCGAUCAGAUUGCCGGGUCUUCGGCAUCGACUAUAACCGCUUCAUCGGCGUCCUCAUUCGUCAUUCCCGUUUCGACUUAGCCGAACACUACUACUUCCAAAUGCUCCCUCAGGGUUUCUCUUUAACUCCCUUUACUUACUCUCGCUUUAUCUCCGGUUUGUGCUCCGUGAAGAACUUGAAUCUGAUUCAGCUUCUUUUGGAUGACAUGGAUAGAUUGAAUUACGUUCCUGAUAUGUGGGCUUUUAACAUCUAUUUGAAUCUUCUGUGUAGAGAGAACAAGGUAGAGUUAGCUUUAGAUGUUUUUUAUAGCAUGGAAAAGAAAGGGAGAGACCUGGAUGUUGUAACGUAUACGAUAAUCAUCGAAGGGAUGUGCAAAGCGGGGAAGCUCGAUAAUGCUAUUCGUUUUUGGAGGGAAAUGGUUGGAAAAGGCAUUAAACCGGAUAAUAAAGCAUGUUGUGCGGUUGUCAUUUCGUUGUGUGAAGGUGGAAAGGUUGAUAUGGCGUAUGAGCUUGUUAUUGAGGUGAUUAAAGGUGGAGAUAUCAAGUUUAGUUCAUUGAUCUACAAUGCUCUAAUUAAUGGGUUCUGUAGAAUGAAGAGAAUCGAUAAGGCACAGGCGAUAAAGCUGUUUAUGACGAAUAAUGGGUGUGAACCGGAUUUGGUUACCUAUAAUGUUUUAUUGAAUUAUUGUUGUAAUGAGCUUAUGUUGGAGGAGGCGGAGAAGUUGAUGAGGAAAAUGGAGAGGAGCGGGAUAGGACCUGAUGUGUAUAGUUAUAACCAGAUGAUUAAGGGUUUUUGUAAUGCUAAUAGGCUGAAUAAAGCAUACUUAUUGAUGGUGAACAAGAUGGAGGCGAAUGGGUUGGCUGAUGCUGUUUCUUAUAAUACCAUUAUCAAAGCAUUUUGCAAGGGUGGUCAUACUAGAAAAGCUUACAAGCUUUUUGAGGAAAUGAGUAGGAAGGGGAUCGCACCUGAUGUGGCGACAUUGACGACUCUUAUAAAGGCUUUUCUUAAUGAAGGUAGUUUUGGUGCAGCUCAAGAACUUAUUGAUUACAUGUCAAGGAUGCGUCUGUUGCCCGAUCGUAUUUUUUAUACUACAAUUAUUGACCACCUAUGCAAAAGUGGAAAAGUUGAAAGGGCUUGUGGUAUUUUUGAUGACAUGAUAAUGCAGGGAGUUAACCCUGAUGUGAUUUCAUACAAUGCCCUCAUAAAUGGGUUUUGCAAGUCUAACAGAGUAACUGAAGCUUUACGUCUAUAUGAGGAAAUGCAAACUAAAGGAUUCCCUCCAGAUGAAACGACAUACAAAUUGAUAAUUGGAGGGCUCAUAAGGGAAAAGAAUCUCUCUAUGGCUUGCAAAGUAUGGGAUCAAAUGAUGGAGAAGGGUUUUACUCUUGAUGGAUCUGUCUCUGAGACACUGAUCCAUGCUAUCCAUUCAACAGACUCUGCAUGAACUUGGUGAAUGAUUUGGUAUUGGCGUUGAGUAGCCAUAUGGACGGAUUGUUGGGUUUAAGCUCUUCUUAUGAUCCUCUUCUUGCCACUGUUUUCCCUUCCUGCUGCCGCUUAGAAAAUAAAUCUCAGGGGAAACUCUACCAUUGCUUGAAAUUGGACUGGGUGCUUUCAGAAGCUGUGAGCCUAAUAUUGUUGCAAGGUGGCAAGG